ACACAUACCUUCGCUGAAAGCACGAACUACAGAAGAAAAACACAACUUUUAUCUUUUAACACCUAAUCAUUUCAACUGACAAAAGUAACACAUACAUAUUCAAUAUUAUACGAACCAGAAGAAUGAAGAUACUUAACACCAAUUUACUUAAGUGCAUGAUUAUCAUAGGACUCUGCUUACAUUGUAUUCAUCCCGCAUCAGCAAGCGCUACAAAUAGAGCCCUCGAGAAGCAAGCUAUCGCUGAAAAUAAUGCCAGUUAUAGAUCAAAUAUUGAUGCAGCUAUGGUGAUAACAUUUGUAGUAUUAGGAGUAUUUGG